UAUAGUAGUUUGUCUGUCUGUCUGUUUGUCUGUGUGUUUAUUAUAUGGUGUUGUUGUUCUCUCUCUCUCUCUCUCUCUCUCUCUCUCUCUCUCUCUCUCUCUCUCUCGGGACAAGCCAAGCGGUACGCCAAGGGAUUUAAGAAGUUAUGGUACGUUGCAGACCCCAAAAGUGUACCCUGCCCAAAAGACGGUACAGGCAACACUCCAACCUUCCUUGUCACUCCUCGCCAACCCUCCCUCGAGACACGGAACAUUGAUGGGAAGGAAGGAAGGAAGGAAGGAAGGAAGGAAGGAAGGAAGGAAGGAAGCUGUGUCACGAGGCGGGCCAAGAGAGGGGAGAAAACCUUACCUACAAAAACCCAUAACGGCACAAACUGAGGCGUCUUCCAGCACACCACUCAGUCUCUCCCUUAGAAGAAAGAUUAGUUAACCCCUUCAGUGCUGUGACGUGUUUUCAUCUUCAUUCUGGUUGUUAUUUAAUGAUUUUAUACAGCUUCAAAAAUCUAUGUGUAGGAUUGAAAUAGUGAAGACUCUUGCCAUUAAUCUUCUGAACCGCAUACAUCCUUCCUAAUGUAAAUAAAAUCGUUGUAACAUAUCCAAACUUACUGUAAAAAUGCGUCCCAGUACUGAAGGGGUUAACUCUCGAUCUGGUAAUAGGAAAGUAAUUAAUGUUUGUUCGUUAAUUUGUUUGCUUAUGCUACUAAUUCUACUCUUUGCUAUUCUCUUUCUCCUUUUCUCUUUUUUUAUUGGUUUUCCAUCUAUUUACCUUGUUUUCCUUAUCUUUCGUUAUUAUCUAUUCGUCUCGGUCUUUCCCCGUGUGUCGCUGCCUGUGGGUAUAGCGAAGUGUCCCUGAGAACCAUUAAUACAACAGAAAACGUGAACUCUUCUGGUACUGGAGGAAGGGAGGGAGGGAGGAGAGGAGAGGAGAGGAGAGGAGAGAAGAGGAGAGAGAGAGGAGAGGAGAGGAGAGAAGAGAAGAGGAGAGGAGAGGAGAGGAGAGGCCAUUAAUACAACAGAAAACGUGAACUCUUCUAUAGUACUGG